GCGCAGCCCAAUGGAGGCUCAUUAAAACCUCACCUCCCCGCCGCGCCCCGCCCACCGGCGCCCGCCAUUGGGCCGCGCCGCGCACGCCGCGCCGCGAGCAUAGGCGGCGGGGAGACGUCAAUCCAGCGGCAUCGUCCCGCCCAGCAACCGGCCCGGCUCUCCCAUUGGAGGGCGGGACGCGUCAAUCAGCGGGCGCGCCCCUUCCCUCCACGCGCCGCCCCGCCCACUCCUCAGAAAGGGCGGUGCCGGAGGCCGCCAUUGGCUGUCGGCGCCGCCACACAGCCGCCCGGCCCCGCCUCCCCGCUGGGCCUCGCUCGCCAGCGAUUGGCCGGCGGCCGCGGGCGGAGGAGGGACCUGCCGCGAGCCCGCCCUCCCGUUGGCUGGCGCCGCCGUCCGUCUGGCUCCCCUCCCCCAUCCGCCACCGCCCCACCCGCUGAAGUUAGUUCGGGAGCGAGGCGCCGGCGGUGGCCGCCGCGAGCAGCCGGGCGCGGGGCGUGCGGGCGGGCGCGCUACACACACACACACACACACAGGCACGGCCCUCGAUGCUCAGAGUCACGCGCGCGCCGCGGGGGCCGCCGGCCGCGCGGGCGGGCGGGAGCGGCGUGCGCGCAGCGGCAGCAGCCCGAGGUGCCUGGCGCUGGCAGCCGCUCAUCGCGCACACGCACGCCCCGCGCCGCCGAGGGAAGGGAAGGGAAGGGAGGGGAGGGGAGGGGAGGUGGGGAGGGGGGAAACGGGGACGGCGACAAUGACUGCCGGCUGCACGCAGGUCCCUGCGAGUUUCGCCAUGCGAGGCGGGGGGCUGCUCUGUCAGCCCGCCCGGGCAGCACAGCCCCCGCCCCCCCCUGCCCACCCCAGGCAGCCCAGCCACAGCCUCCUGCCGCCGCUCCCCCUCCCCUGCCCAACGCAGAGCGUUGCAAGGCAUUUACCCAGCGCGAGUGUCUGCAAACACGUGCAGCAGCCUCCAAUGCAAAGGGGAAAAAAAAGAAAAAAAAAAAAAAAAAAGUGCCCAGCCUGGUGACAAGCCCCCUGCGCUGCGAGAGGGGAGGGAAAGGGGGUGAUGAUGGUAAAUCGCAGCCUGUCACCCGGCGCACGACGAGCCCCACCGCAUGCUCCCUGCUGUCCCCCGCGCCAACUCCGGGCAGUCUGACCUCGGGUGCCGGUGUCCCCCCCUCUGCUCGCAGUGACCUCCUUUCUCUGCCCGUCUGUGUUUCUGCAGCAGCGGUUCCUGCGGAAUGUGCUGCCCCUGAAACGCGAUCGCGGCUCCUCUCUCUCUCUCUCGCUCGCUCCUUCUCUGUCUCUCGCUCGCUCGCUCUCUCUCCUGGCUGCGAGCGGAGCCAGGAACACAACAACAACACAGCCUCCCCCCACCCCCUUCCCCAAACACACACACACGGAGGGGACCCAGCCAGGAGAGCCAGACGAGCCGGGGAGGGGGUGGAGGGAAUCCCCAGCCAGCGGAUUGAUUGCACCAGUUACCUUCCCUGA
rnacentral:lncRNA from 1 species